AUUGUGGCGGAAGAUACUACAGUUCACCUGAUUACUUAACAUCACCAAAUUUUCCCAGUCAAUAUUCAAAUAGAGCAAACUGUGUCUACCUGGUCCGUAUCUAUGGCGCACGUGCGAUAACAUUUACAGUGCAUGAAUUUGAUACUGAGAGCCUUAAAGAUGUAUUGACGUACGGUCCUGGUUAUAGUGUUGACUUUGAUUCACCCGAUCUUGUGUACCUUAUGGGUGUCCUCGACACGCCGUUUCAUUUUACCAUUAACGGAGACAGUGUGUGGUUUUACUUUGCGACUGACAGGACCAUCACACUGACUGGUUUCAAUAUCUCUUUUACUGAAGAUAUUAACGACUGUCAUCCUAACCCGUGUCUGAAUAUUGGCACCUGUGUUGACGGGAUGAACAGUUACACCUGUAUAUGUCCACCUGGAUUUAUAGGAAUUAACUGUGAAAUC